rnacentral:lncRNA from 1 species
CUGAAAAGAAAGCCAACUUGUGGGUGACUGGUGCCUGCCCAGCCCAACCACUGAAUACCUGACUACUCUGUUCUGUUUCGUUUGUGGCUACUGUAGAGACCUGAUGGCCAUCUCUGUGGCCAGCCUGAGACAUGUCGAUGAGCCAGUCCUGCCCAGACUAGCUGCUUAGAGCUCUGCACAUCCCUGGCCUGAACCUGGGCCUGCUGGCACAACUAUACCACUCUGGUCUGUUAUCAGGUGCUCAAUAGCCUGCCUGAAAUGUUGCAGAAAUUGCUUGAUCAGAUGCUGUGUCUAUACCACCCACAAGCGCCACCUUCGGGUAGUUUCUCAGUACGGUUGCAGAAAUUUGGGGCCAUCUGGACUUUGCAUUAUACUGGCUUUUGUGCUGAAGAUGGUGUCCACAUUCCCAGAGAAUCCUGCUUUCUUAGAAGUCCCAAGACACUUUUCCCUCCGUGCUGAUGCCUACUGGUUCUCCAAAUCAAUAUAGAAUGAACUCAAGACAAAUUUGUGAUUGAGAGCUCGUGCACAGAACAUCUGAAGCCCAAACAGUUCCUGCUAUUGACUGAGAUGGUGAUGAAUGCAAACAAGGCAAGAGAAGAAGGAAGCAUAUUGCCAGGUGGGGGUGAGAGAUAGAGGCCAUCAAGGCUACUAUGGGAGUGACCAGCCAGGACACUGAUCAGUGGUCUGUCCAGUUCUAGCCUGCUGAGUUUUGGGAAGAAGCUGAGGAGUUACUAAUCCGUUUCAAUCUAAACUUCUUGCAGCCUCUGCUAAUUCCCCUUUGGGUGACGCUUGCUGUUCAUAUUCCAUGCCAUCCACAUUGGACUUGAUCACUUCCUUGUUUGGAGGCUCUUAAGCUGUAGUGACUCAGAAUUUAUUGAGUCACUCAAUACUUAUUGUGUUAAGAUAGAAUUAACAUGCUAUGAAAUUCAUCCUUCUCAUAUGUACAGUUCAGUGGUUUUUUUUAGUAUAUUCACAAAGUAGUGCAGCCGCUACUGCUAAUUACAGGACAAUAUUCAUCACCCGCAAAGGAAACUUAGUAUCUAUUAGCGAUUGUGCCUAUCAUGCUUAUCCUUCCCUUCUCUCCACUCCUGGAAACUACUGAUGUACUUUCUGUCCCUAUCGACUUGCCCCUUCUGGACAGUUCAUUCAUUCAUUCUUCAUUUAAGGUUUAUUUUGAGAGAGAGAGCAUGAGUGAGCACGUGCAUGAGCAGUGAGGGACAGAGAGAGAGCGAGACAGGGAAUCUCAAGCAGGCUUUGCACUGUCAGAGCAGAGCCUGAUGCUUGAACCCAGGAACCACGAGAUCAUGACCUGAGCCGAAAUCAAAAGUCAGACACUUAACUGACUGAGCCAUGCAGGAACCCGUGGACAGUUUAUUUAAAUAGAAUCAAAUAAUCUGUAGCCUUUUACAUCUCAAGGUUUAUCUAUAUUGUAGCAUGAAUCAGUACCUCACUUCUUUUC